rnacentral:lncRNA from 1 species
CGUCGUCGCUGAUCCGGAAGGAGUCGGAUCGGAGUUCGUCGCCGACGCCUAUGACGCUGCAGUUGUAGAGAGUGAAGCCUGGGAUGAGUACACCGACCCUGAAGGCAAGUCAAGCAUUCUUUGAUCAUAUUUGAACCUAAUCUGGAGCUAGGUCAUAUUUUGGGUAGUGGUACUUACCUUGAAGUACAUAUAUAUAGGGUGCAUGUGUUAAUUAAUUAAAUUAUCACCUUAACUAGCAGUUACCCAUUUAUUUUGCUUUACAUAUUGCCAUACCUUGAUAUUGUGCCUGUUAUGCCUUGAUAACCUUGUUUUAGAGCAGAUGAUUAUUAUAUGACUAUCAUUAUUUUAUGUGAAAGCAUAGAUGUUAUAUAGUUUAUUUGAAAAGCUAUAAGGACUUAACCACCUUAUGCCAGUAUAUGUGACAUAGUUUACACCCAUCCACACGAUCGAGAUCCUCGGCCAUAGCAUAUGCUGCUCCAGUGAAUUGAUGAUCUGCAGCCUAUCUGUGUAUAUGGCAAUAUUGACCUUAGGUGUGUACUGGCCACUGAGAGUUGGUGAGAAUUGUAUGAGUGAGGGUGCUGCGUGUACCCAGGGUACUGUGUAUACCCAAAAGAGGUCAGGAGGAGCUGAUGUGCCUCUGAGACGGUGGAAGUUGUGGCGGGGUUGGAAUACACCCCCUCCGCGUUCGGGACGGGGCCAAUAGACACAAAAUCCUAUAACCCGCUAGGCAGAUCUUACAUAAGCUUGGGGCAGUAGUAUGUUGUGUUAUUCAUAGCCUGGCUAGCUGUGGGUAUCGUGUGGGUAAAGCUGGGUAGACGCUGCAGAGUCGUUUGGUAUUCGAAUACGUCGUGCUCCCGGUUAAUGGAGAUAUGUCUAUGGGUGAAUCUAGUGUGUUGGCAAAAGGUAGACUUGGCAUAUUGUUUAAUAUGGUAAGGUGAAUGACAUAAAAUAAUGGUUAUACUUGAUUAUUAUACUAGGUUAUUAUUUGGGUUUAUUUGUAAACUACUGUUAAGGUUAGAGAGUUGAACCAGUUUCCUUCCUUUGUUAACUAUGCACUACUAUUUUACUACUUUCUCUGCUUGGCUUGUGGAGUACUUGUGUACUCAUUCUUGCAUACUUUUGGCUCCAGUUGGUCAGGGUGAGUUGCAGGUGAAGUCGAAGAGUUUGAGAACCCCUAGGAGUGGGACGAAGAUGAAGGCUUCGACUUUUAGGUCGACUCUACGCUCGGGCUGUUCCUGUGGUGCAGAGUUGCGUCUUUUGUUUGUUUAGUUUAAGGCUGUAGGCCCGUUGCGUGUGUUUUAGUUUAGCCUGGAGUUGUGCUAAAAACUUGUCGGUUUGUAUAAUUAAUUGAGGUACUGUUUCUGUAUCAUUUUGCGUGUAACUAAACUUCCUAGGUGGUUACGUGAAUCGAGGGACGCUUGGAUUCGGUUCAGGAUCGAGCCCCCACAGUACCUGCUACAUGCUGCUGCAAUGAAAUGUCAUUGUCUACCAAUAGUAAAACCUACAAACUUGCUGCAUGCAUAUCUAGUAUCAUCUGUUACUACCAUCAUCUACUAUUACCAAGAUGCAUGCAUGCACAAUCAGACAAAGGAUGGGCAAGUAUGCAUGACCUUGUAUUCUUUGCAGGAACUGGAUUGAUUCUGCCAUCUUAGUGCUUACAUUGGAGCCACACAAUGGAUAUCCAACGACUGAAACAAAUGACGUUGGCGUGGGCAUAGCAGAGAGGCGUGUAGACGAAGCGGCCUCAUAUUCUAAAUUUGGAUGAAUCAACAGAGAAAUUUGGGUGGAACAUAUAAAAAAUCCAUUGACAUAAGGUUUUGGCCAUCAAAACUCUAACAUGCAGUCGUA